AUCACAAGACCCAGACCUACAUUUUGAGGCAUAGUAUGUCUCUGAAGUAUUAAAAAUGAAGGCACAGUCGCAGUUUAGUUGCUAUGCAAGAACACUUAAUUAACUAGAUUUCCCCAGUGAUUAAAUGAUCAAAACAAACGUCUGUUAAUAUCUGUGCCCAGCUCCUAAUCUUCUGCUGUCUCAGUACUAAUGUCCAGUCAUGCACAAACCCCACCUGUUUUGGCCAGACACAGAGUCAGCGUGACCACUUGUUUAGGUUAGAAUAGAUUGCGUUACGUGUUUGUAGACAGCACACUCUUAGAUUAUGGAGCAAUAGCAGAUAGGUUCAUAAUGAUGGUGACUCAGCUCAGUUAUACUUAUUCUCAUCUCGGGUAAACUUCAAUUUGUCUCCGUUAUUCCUGGAGAUGGCUUUUAAAGGACCACUAUAGGCACCCAGACCAUUUCAGCUUAAUGAAGUAGUCUGGGUGCCUGGUCAAGCUAGGGAUCCGCC